rnacentral:rRNA from 1 species
GACGUAGGGCGCGAGCGUUGUCCGGAUUUAUUGGGCGUAAAGAGCUCGUAGGCGGUCUGUCACGUCGGGAGUGAAAACUCAGGGCUUAACCCUGAGCCUGCUUCCGAUACGGGCAGACUAGAGGUAUGCAGGGGAGAAUGGAAUUCCUGGUGUAGCGGUGAAAUGCGCAGAUAUCAGGAGGAACACCGGUGGCGAAGGCGGAUCUCUGGGCCUUACCUGACGCUGGAGGCGCGAAAGCUAGGGGAGCGAACGGG